GGCCCCAGAGGUAGCGCGGGUCUGUGCCAUCGCCCUCAGCCGUCCCGGCUUUCCCGCAGGACGAAGCGCUGUGCGCAUUAGCGCCCAGGUGCGGGCUGCCCAGCGGCGGCUCAGGCUCCAUUUCGGUGUUAAAGGGAGCGCUGCGGCCGGGCCGCCCCGCUACCGCCGCGGCUCGCGCUCCUUCCCCGGCCGCCUGCAAACGGGCUCCAAAAUGGCGGCGGACGCCAGGGCCGGUGAGCAGGCAGUAGAAAAACAGCUGAAGAUCUGCGGCAUCAAGAGGACCAUAGAUGUCUCAAUAUUAUAUCUGGCUGGACAAGGACUAAGAAGUAUCCCAAGUCUUUCACAGUUUCAUAGGUUAAGGUGUUUGUGGAUUAACAACAAUAAGAUCCAAGAUUUAACUUUCUUGAUCAAAAACCACUGCUUGACUGAACUCUAUCUCAACCAUAACGAACUGACAGAUAUAUCAGGUGCUCUGAAACAUUUAUGUGCGUUACAGAUUGUGUUUCUUCACAACAACCAGUUACAAAAACUUGUCGAAACAGUGAAGGAACUGAAAGGAAAGAUAAGCUUGCAUACCCUAAACCUAUUCCAUAACCCUCUGGCACAAGAUGCAGACUACCGGCUGUAUGUGAUACAUGCCCUCCCUUCAGUGCAGCUCCUUGACAGGAAGGCAGUUACACAAAGAGAAAGGGAGUCAGCGCUUUAUCUUUAUAAGCGUGAAAGGUCUUGUGUGGUGCAGCCAAUAGCUUUUGGAAAGAGAGUGAGUAUGGUCCUGGGGCCUCCGCUGGGAUCCCGCAGAGCCAGCGCUCAACCAGACAGGAGGAGCCUGACAGUGCCCUCAGGUAUUUAUAAUAAUGUUGGAAAUCUGGAAAUCACACCAAAAAAGUACCGUUUGAGAACCCCGAAGAUGCUGUUUUAGUGCGGGCAAUGACGAGAUCUGUGAUGGAAUUUUCCUGUGUUGACUGGAACAAAGUAGCCACCUGUCAAGAAAGACGGCUUGAAAACAAAGUGGAAGAACCUCUUAAGAAGAUGACAAUCCAAUUCAAAUGAGGACUUUCUUCCGUAAGAAAAAGAAUCUUCUUCUCUGCAGUGUGAAGCUUCCCUUUUUAAGGACGGGAGGGAGAAGAGCCAUCCACUAAGAUCUGUCUCUGCCUCAGCACCCAGCCACUGACUCGUUCAGCUAACGUGAACCUGCAAGUGUGUUUGUCACCAGUGUGAGCUACCACACUGCUCACAGCUCUUCAUGUUUUGCUGUGUGCGAUUUCUGGUAUCCUUGUCCCCAACUUCCACAGUCAUCCUGAUGUCAUCCAGCA